UUCGCAAUGCCCGAAAGGGUGACGAAGCGACGCCGCGUGCGGGAAGAAGGCCUUCGGGUUGUAAACCGCUGUCGGGUGUUAAGAAAUGUAAGGAUGUUAAUAGCAUCUUUGCUUGACUAAGGCUCCGGAGGAAGCCACGGCUAACUCUGUGCCAGCAGCCGCGGUAAUACAGAGGCGGCAAGCGUUGUUCGGAAUUAUUGGGCGUAAAGAGCACGUAGGCGGCUAUGUAAGUCGGUUGUGAAAGCCUUCCGCUCAACGGGAGAACAGCAUCCGAUACUGCAUGGCUUGAGUGCGGGAGGGGAGAGUGGAACUUCUGGUGGAGCGGUGAAAUGCGUAGAUAUCAGAAGGAACGCCGGCGGCGAAAGCGGCUCUCUGGCCCAUAACUGACGCUGAGUGUGCGAAAGCUAGGGGAGCAAACGGGAUUAGAUACCCCGGUAGUCCUAGCCGUAAACGAUGGGCACUAAGUAGAGGGGUUUU
rnacentral:rRNA from 1 species